rnacentral:lncRNA from 1 species
UCAUGCAACUCUUAUUCUCCAAAAUAUUCCGAAGAUACAUCUCCGGAAUAUUUUAAUGUUACCUUACAUUUUGGUGCAUUCGAAAAUAUAUAUCUCCGAAAACAGAGAGCAUUUGUGAAAAUUUAUAUGAUGUGAAAGAAAUAUCUAAGGUGUCAUAAGAAACUCUCUAAAAUUAUAUCUAGCAUCCCUAAGAUCCCUCGUAUGAUUAUAAUACCAAAAGUACCCCUAUUAUUUUUUCAUUAAUCAUAUGUUU